rnacentral:rRNA from 1 species
AUUGAACGCUGGCGGCAUGCUUUACACAUGCAAGUCGGACGGCAGCGCGGGCUUCGGCCUGGCGGCGAGUGGCGAACGGGUGAGUAAUACAUCGGAACGUGCCCAGUAGUGGGGGAUAGCUCGGCGAAAGCCGGAUUAAUACCGCAUACGACCUGAGGGUGAAAGCGGGGGACUUUAGGGCCUCGCGCUAUUGGAGCGGCCGAUGGCAGAUUAGCUAGUUGGUGUGGUAAAGGCCUACCAAGGCGACGAUCUGUAGCUGGUCUGAGAGGACGACCAGCCACACUGGGACUGAGACACGGCCCAGACUCCUACGGGAGGCAGCAGUGGGGAAUUUUGGACAAUGGGCGCAAGCCUGAUCCAGCAAUGCCGCGUGUGUGAUGAAGGCCUUCGGGUUGUAAAGCACUUUUGGCAGGAACGAAAAGUGCCGUGCUAAUACCACGGUACGAUGACGGUACCUGCAGAAUAAGCACCGGCUAACUACGUG